rnacentral:rRNA from 1 species
UCCUACCGGAGUAGCAGUAAGAAUCUUUCGCAAUUGACGAAGUUCGACGAGCAAGCGCUGAUGAAUGAAAGUUUCGAUCGUAAGCUCUGUUGUUAAGGAAGAACAAGUACCGUUCGAAAUAGGCCGUUACUUUGACCGUACUACCAGAAAGCCACGGCUAACUACGUGCCAGCAGCCGCGUAAUACGUAGGUGGCAAGCGUUUGUCCCGGAAUUAUUGGGCGUAAAAGGGCUCGCAGGGCGGUUUCUUAAGUCUGAUGUGAAAGCCCCCGGCUCAACCGGGGAGGGUCAUUGGAAACUGGGGAACUUGAGUGCAGAAGAGGAGAGUGGAAUUCCACGUGUAGCGGUGAAAUGCGUAGAGAUGUGGAGGAACACCAGUGGCGAAGGCGACUCUCUGGUCUGUAACUGACGCUGAGGAGCGAAAGCGUGGGGAGCGAACAGGAUUAGAUACCCUGGUAGUCCACGCCGUAAACGAUGAGUGCUAAGUGUUAGGGGGUUUCCGCCCCUUAGUGCUGCAGCUAACGCAUUAAGCACUCCGCCUGGGGAGUACGGUCGCAAGACUGAAACUCAAAGGAAUUGACGGGGGCCCGCACAAGCGGUGGAGCAUGUGGUUUAAUUCGAAGCAACGCGAAGAACCUUACCAGGUCUUGACAUCCUCUGACAAUCCUAGAGAUAGGACGUCCCCUUCGGGGGCAGAGUGACAGGUGGUGCAUGGUUGUCGUCAGCUCGUGUCGUGAGAUGUUGGGUUAAGUCCCGCAACGAGCGCAACCCUUGAUCUUAGUUGCCAGCAUUCAGUUGGGCACUCUAAGGUGACUGCCGGUGACAAACCGGAGGAAGGUGGGGAUGACGUCAAAUCAUCAUGCCCCUUAUGACCUGGGCUACACACGUGCUACAAUGG